rnacentral:rRNA from 1 species
AGAGUUUGAUCCUGGCUUAGGAUGAACGCUAGCUACAGGCUUAACACAUGCAAGUCGAGGGGCAGCAUGGGUGUAGCAAUACACCUGAUGGCGACCGGCGCACGGGUGCGUAACGCGUAUCCAACCUGCCGUGUACUCCGGGAUAGCCCUCUGAAAGGAGGAUUAAUACCGGAUGUGGUUGUUCGAGGACAUCCUCUUACAAUUAAAGAUUUAUCGGUACACCGAUGGGGAUGCGUACGAUUAGGUAGUCGGCGGGGUAACGGCCCACCGAGCCUUCGAUCGUUAGGGUUCUGAGAGGAAGGUCCCCCACAUAGGAACUGAGACACGGUCCUAACUCCUACGGGAGGCAGCAGUGAGGAAUAUUGGUCAAUGGGCGAGAGCCUGAACCAGCCAAGUAGCGUGAAGGAUGACUGCCCUACGGGUUGUAAACUUCUUUUACGGGGGAAUAAAGUGCGGCACGCGUGCCGUUUUGCAUGUACCCCAUGAAUAAGCAUCGGCUAAUUCCGUGCCAGCAGCCGC